AUUGCUUCCUGAGCCUUUGGCUAAGAUCAAGUGCGGUAUCUGCUCUUAUCAAUUUAAAAUCUGAUAUGUCGGUUAUCUAAGGACAAUACAUUAAAUGGAUUUUUGGGUCAGGAAGAUGGAAUAGGAGCUUACUAUGUCCACUUUACCCAUCUACCUGUAAUUGCAGUACCUCCAGAAAUGGUGCAUUCUCC